GCCGGGAUGGUGGAAUUGGUAGACACCCGAGACUUAAAAUCUCGUAAUCCUUGCGAUUGUGCGGGUUCAAGUCCCGCUCCCGGUACCA
rnacentral:tRNA from 2 species